AGUGGAGCACAUCGCCUCCUCAUCUGCCAGCUCCUGAAAAGCUCUCAAGUGGAGUGCUGGCAGGGGACAGAGCUCUACAGGUGGCUUUCGGCUCGCUGUACAGAGACGAUGUGUUAAUAAAACCCAGUCGAGUAGUUGCACUUUUAGCAGCAGCCUGCAUGCUGCAGCUUGUAAGUAAUAAACGCGCGGCGUUUGUGUGCUCUCCUGUCAGACAAACAGCUCGUAACACACACACACACUCUGUUUCAGCCAGAUAAACGCAUAAUUCUCGUAUAAUAAGUGGAAAAGAAAGCCAAACACAAUGCCCUGGUUUUGUUUCAAAACUCUGUGGCUGAGACUCGGUCGGAAUAUUAAGUGAGAUUUAGAGGAAUCGUAUCUGGAGGUAGA
rnacentral:lncRNA from 1 species